rnacentral:rRNA from 1 species
CACUGGUCGAGUCGGCCUGCGCGGAAGAUGUAACGGGGCUAAACCAUGCACCGAAGCUGCGGCAGCGACACUAUGUGUUGUUGGGUAGGGGAGCGUUCUGUAAGCCUGCGAAGGUGGCCUGUGAGGGCUGCUGGAGGUAUCAGAAGUGCGAAUGCUGACAUAAGUAACGAUAAAGCGGGUGAAAAGCCCGCUCGCCGGAAGAC